CAAUAACCACCUGUCUCUCCUA
rnacentral:misc_RNA from 1 species